AAUGAACGCUGGCGGCAUGCCUAACACAUGCAAGUCGAACGAAGGCUUCGGCCUUAGUGGCGCACGGGUGCGUAACGCGUGGGAAUCUGCCCUUGGGUUCGGAAUAACAGUUAGAAAUGACUGCUAAUACCGGAUGAUGUCGUAAGACCAAAGAUUUAUCGCCCAAGGAUGAGCCCGCGUAGGAUUAGCUAGUUGGUGGGGUAAAGGCCUACCAAGGCGACGAUCCUUAGCUGGUCUGAGAGGAUGAUCAGCCACACUGGGACUGAGACACGGCCCAGACUCCUACGGGAGGCAGCAGUGGGGAAUAUUGGACAAUGGGCGAAAGCCUGAUCCAGCAAUGCCGCGUGAGCGAUGAAGGCCUUAGGGUUGUAAAGCUCUUUUACCCGGGAUGAUAAUGACAGUACCGGGCGAAUAAGCUCCGGCUAACUUCGUG
rnacentral:rRNA from 1 species